ACUUGACAAAGAACAAUUUUAUCAUAGGAGACUUAUAUCUGAGAUGCUGCAUAUUAAGAUGCAGAAAAAUGGCAUAAAUUUAAUGAAGAAUACGGACCUGCUCGAUCCUAUCUACUCUCCUUUAAUUUUGAAAUUGAGUGGUUGAUUUUGCGUUUGCGCUCUCUCGUCCUUCUCGGACUUAUCUUUCUCUCUUCCGACCUUAUCAUUUUGUUUUCUCGCAUUUAUGUUACGCAUUCUGUAAAUCGUGCGAGAUGUUUGUGCCGUUGAGCGUUGCUGUAUGACGAUUGUGUGGGAGUUUUCAACGACUUUGUAUGAUUUACUAAUUUUACAAUAUGAUGCAAGGACGAAUUGACUUGUCAACAAUUUUGUCUAUUGCUUUCUCGUCUUGAAUUCUCUCAUGUUGUCGGCGCUCAGUAACGUAUUUAGAUUAUUUAUCUUUAAGUGUGGCUGAUGAUGAUCAAAAUAAAGGAGGAUCAAAACGUUCC